rnacentral:rRNA from 1 species
UACGUAGGUGGCAAGCGUUGUCCGGAUUUACUGGGCGUAAAGCGUGCGUAGGCGGUUCGCUAAGUCGGUUGUGAAAUCCCUGGGCUUAACCUGGGAACUGCAGUCGAUACUGGCGGACUAGAGUACGGUAGAGGGUGGCGGAACUCCGGGUGUAGCGGUGAAAUGCGUAGAUAUCCGGAAGAACACCGAUGGCGAAGGCAACCACCUGGGCCUGUACUGACGCUGAGGUACGAAAGCGUGGGGAGCAAACAGG